GCUGGCGGCAUGCUUAACACAUGCAAGUCGAACGUGAAAGCACUUCGGUGUGAGUAGAGUGGCGGACGGGUGAGUAACGCGUGGGAAUCUGCCCAGUAGUGGGGGACAACUACCGGAAACGGUAGCUAAUACCGCAUACGCCCUAUGGGGGAAAGGCUUCGGCCGCUAUUGGAUGAGCCCGCGUCAGAUUAGCUAGUUGGUAGGGUAAAGGCCUACCAAGGCAACGAUCUGUAGCUGGUCUGAGAGGACGAACAGCCACACUGGGACUGAGACACGGCCCAGACUCCUACGGGAGGCAGCAGUGGGGAAUAUUGGACAAUGGGCGAAAGCCUGAUCCAGCAAUGCCGCGUGUGUGAAGAAGGCCUGCGGGUUGUAAAGCACUUUCAGUUGGGAAGAUGAUGACGUUACCAACAGAAGAAGCACCGGCUAAAUCCGUGCCAGCAGCCGCGGUAAUACGGAUGGUGCGAGCGUUAAUCGGAAUUACUGGGCGUAAAGCGCGCGUAGGCGGCUAAGUCAGUCAGAAGUGAAAGCCCCGGGCUCAACCUGGGAAUUGCUUUUGAUACUGCUUGGCUAGAGUUUGGUAGAGGAUAGUGGAAUUCCAGGUGUAGCGGUGAAAUGCGUAGAUAUCUGGAGGAACAUCAGUGGCGAAGGC
rnacentral:rRNA from 1 species